GUGGACAAGUGGCUCACCUGAAAACCCUCUCUGCAUCAUUACUGUUGCUUGUGCUGUCCAGACUGAAAUUCAUGCAGGUUGCUCAGUCAUAGGGAGUCUGGGGAGAAGCAGUCACAAUUCCACUGCUGAGGACCACCAAGGGAAGAUGACAACACAGAAUAUUCAACAGCUGUAUUAAACUUUGCAGAGCAGAGCCGGUGUGAACGCAACAGGAAAGACUUUUGCCAUCUGAACCUCACCAUUGCCUUGGCGCACGCUUGGCCACCAUCGGCGCUGGCCCAGCAGCAGCACAGCUUUCCCGGGCAGCACUCGGGCUGGCACAAAUGAGCUCGGAGGGAAAGGGUCCCCACCAGAUCCCUCCCACUGGCACGGCCGCAGCACCUGACAGAUCUCCCUGGGGCAACUGAAGCCUCUGGAGCACCACACGAACCCACAGCUGAACCUGAGCUAAAAUCCUGUCCAAGAAAGAGGAAGGCUGCUGUGAGGCAAACUGAAUGAACCUCUGAAGAAAUGCCAGUGUGACUGGGAUUGACAGCGUGCCUGGGUGAGACCCACACAGCCAGCCUGUUGGACCAUACAGCCCUGUCAUCUUACGUGGCCUCAGGCAAGGAAAACUGAAGUGGCAAUGAACUUGUCUGACUUCUGGUUAAAGGCUGAACUGCCUGGCUUCCUUUGGCUGGCUGGGAGGCUUCAUUUCAAGGAGUUCCUAUGAGGAUAAUCUCAUUCCAUCUGUUCCGAAGUAUCCUGGCAAUGAUGAAACACAAAAGAAUGAGGAAGUGGGUGUUAAGGCAGAAUAAAUGGGAGAGACUGUGGCCAGAAGAAAGCAUCGCAACCCAAUGGGGAGAUUGUGGAGCAUUAUGUAUCCUUGAAGAGCUCCUUUCACGUUGCUUUCUUCCACAUGCUGUUGCAUUGCCUAAUAUAAACUCAAAAGAGCUCCUCUUUGCAAGGUGCAAAUUGAACAGAAA
rnacentral:lncRNA from 1 species